GAACGAUCGAACAAAGGGGGAAACAAGGUGAAACCCUUGUUUUGCAAAUCCAGUAAAUUGAAGUGGAAAUUCAAGUGUAAUCUGGUGCAUGAACUCCGAUUUACUCUCCUCUAACCUCGAUUAUUAAAGUGGCACGAAGAAGGAAGGAGACGCAAGUCACUCGAAGGCAUAAGUAUCUCAAGAUCGCUGUAAAACUCCACUCUAGGCGAUUUGGAGAUUUGGAGCGAGCACGGGCCCAUGCUAUGUUAUACCAAAUGCUUCCGCUAGUUUUUGUUCGUCUUUAUGGUCCAUGACUUGUUAUUUUGUCCAACUUUGUUAGUAGUCGUAUUUUGCAAAAACUUGUUGUCUUUGUCUUGGGUAGUUUAAUGUUAAAAAGGGUCAUAGAUUGUUGUUAGUUUUAUGUGUUUAGAACAG